AGCGAACGCUGGCGGCAGGCCUAACACAUGCAAGUCGAACGAGCCUUUCGGGGUUAGUGGCGGACGGGUGAGUAACACGUGGGAACGUGCCUUUAGGUUCGGAAUAACUCAGGGAAACUUGUGCUAAUACCGAAUGUGCCCUUCGGGGGAAAGAUUAAUCGCCUUUAGAGCGGCCCGCGUCUGAUUAGCUAGUUGGUUGAGGUAAUGGCUCACCAAGGCGACGAUCAGUAGCUGGUCUGAGAGGAUGAUCAGCCACAUUGGGACUGAGACACGGCCCAAACUCCGAGGGGAGGAGGCGGGGGGGAAUUUGGGGAAAGGGCGGAAGGCCGAACGAAGCCAGGCGGGGGGAAUAAGAAGGUUCUAAGUGUGGAAAAAUUUUUUCCCGGGGGACGAUAAGGAGGGACCCGGGAGAAGACCCCCCGCCUACCUUGGGC
rnacentral:rRNA from 1 species